UGCUCUCUCUCUCGAUGACAGGUGGGUCCCACCCGUCAUCCCUAACCUCCAGCCAUCCUCUCUCUCCGGCCGAAUUCCAAGCGACGGCAACCUCCGAUUCGCCUCCUCCACUCGCCGUUUCAUCAAAUUAAUUGGGGGGAAUUAAUUCCCACCUCAUCCUCUCCAAUUCCCCCAUAAUUUCCCACUCAAUCCCGCAUUAUUCGUGAUGGAUUUUGAUGAUGUUCUUUAAUGGUGAGCUCCACCAUGGCCGGCGUCGAUCUCCCUGCCCGGCGUCUCUCUCCCUCCCCUCCGGCCUAUAAAAGGGACUCCGACUCCCUCCUCUCCCCUCACACCGCCGCCCUCUCCCUCCUCUCUCCGCGGCCGCCGCGCCGCUCUCUUCUUGUGCCGCCGCCGUCGCAACUCCGGUCGCCCGUCGCCGGUGGUCGGGACCUCCUCGGUGCCUGGAGUCGCCACCAUCCGCGUCGCCGUUUCCUCCUCUUCCCCGUCCACCCCUCCGUCGAGCAUGAGGACCGCGGGAACGACGACGACGCCGACGACCCGAGGCUUCUCGUCGUUUCUCCCUCACCGCCGGCAACGCCGUCGAUCUCUCGCCGCCGCGUCUGCUCGAUCCCGCCGUUCCGGAAGAUCAGCUGUUCAUCGCCGUUGAUGCCGAAGACUUUGUGAGCAAUCAAGGAAAGUCAUAUCUACCUUGAACAUGUUGAAUCCCAUAUUGUGAAAAUUAUGUUGUUUUACUUAUAUUGCAUUGCUUUAUAAAUUAUACCGUUCAUUAUUAAUAUUGUUUUAUUAGUUAUUCCUA